rnacentral:ncRNA from 1 species
CAGAGUAGGAAACUGCGCGUUAAGUGCGCUGCGAACGGAGAGUUGGCGCAGCGACGAAAAGCACCGGGUGCUUGCGGUGCAGUUUCCGCAUCUCGCUG